AUGAUUAAGAGGAAGUAGAAGAUGAUCAAGAGGAAGUAGAAGAUGAUCAAGAGGAAGUAGAAGAUGAUCAAGAGGAAGUAGAAGAGGAUGAAGAAGAAGUAGAAGAGGAUGAAGAAGUAGAAGAUGAUCAAGAGGAAGUAGAAGAGGAGGAGGAAGUAGAAGAUGAUCAAGAGGAAGUAGAAGAUGAUCAAGAGGAAGUAGAAGAUGAUCAAGGGGAAGUAGAAGAUGAUGAAGGGAAAGAUGAUCAAGAGGAAGUAGAAGAGGAUGAAGAAGUAGAAGAGGAGGAGGAAGUAGAAGAUGAUGAAGAGGAAGUAGACAUAAUGAUUUGAUAUUUCCUGGAUGCAGGCUGCUGUUCGUGCUCGCACCACCACUAGAACAUUACCUUACUCCAUUCUCUUUUGCAACCCUUCAAUAAAUAAUUUCUCUGCUUCUCUCCAUGUUUCUCUGACAGUAGAAUGUAGAAAUAAAUAAAUAAAUAAAUAAAUAAAUAAAUAAACAAACAAACAAACAAAACAAACAUGCAUCUGCCCCGU
ensembl:lncRNA